CUACGGGCCGCUGCAGUGAGGAAUAUUGCACAAUGGGGGGAACCCUGAUGCAGCAACGCCGCGUGGAGGAUGACGCAUUUCGGUGUGUAAACUCCUUUUAUAUGUCAAGAAAAUGACGGUAGCAUAUGAAUAAGCACCGGCUAACUCCGUGCCAGCAGCCGCGGUAAUACGGAGGGUGCAAGCGUUACUCGGAAUCACUAGGCGUAAGGGACGCGUAGGCGGGUUGGAAAGUCAGGUGUGAAAUCCUACAGCUUAACUGUAGAACUGCACUUGAAACUUCUAAUCUAGAGUAUGGGAGGGGGAGAUGGAAUUAGUGGUGUAGGGGUAAAAUCCGUAGAUAUCACCAGGAAUACCUAAAGCGAAGGCGAUCUCCUGGAACAUUACUGACGCUAAGGCGUGAAAGCGUGGGGAGCAAACAGGAUUAGAUACCCCUGUAGUC
rnacentral:rRNA from 1 species